UCUUUUACUAUACCCAAUCGGUUAACA
rnacentral:piRNA from 1 species